rnacentral:lncRNA from 1 species
GUAAAUGAUGAGCAAUACUGUCCGAUAACCCUGCAUUUGUACUUUUAGCAUCUGAUUGUCCAUCUGUGCUUGAAAUCCAAAACGACGUAGUAAAGAACCUGCAAUAUUUCUCGAAGCAGUGAAAUAAAUAUUCGUAUUCAGAAGGCUUCUUCCCCAAGCCUGGAGUUAAUGAGAUCUGGAUCGUCUCCUCUGCGAACACUGGAGUUCUCAAGGCGCCUAUUUGGCUGAUUCGUACUCUCUCCUCCUAUUGCCCACCAGUCCCUUCGCAGAAUGCCCGAGCACAUCUUAAGCCCUCACAGCCCUCUCUUUUUCAAGAAGCCCUUCUUAGUCCAGUCUAUGCCUCUGUUCCUCUUCAGGUCGAAGCAUCCCAAAGCCCAUUGAAGACACUUCAGAAGGGGUUUCAAAAGUGAGGCCUUCGCGCAGAUGGGACACAUUCCUUUGGGGGAAAAAAAAACAGGCCUGGCCCAGGAACGCGGCUGGGCUGCGCCACCUGUCGGGCAGAGGUUUCUUCGGUCCCAACUUUUUCCCGUGUGACGUCACCGUCCGGAGCCAAUCGGCAGUUCUUCUCCAGGCUCUUCCCAAGUCCUAGCCAAGCGAAAGGAGACGAAGUGAAGCAGCCCGAGACUGAGUCCAAAGAUUCCCAUCAGUCCCGAGGUGGAGGUGACCGCCACUCCCGGGGCCCGGAGCUGUCCGGGUCAUCUCCAUCCCGGCCCUCGGCCCUCUCCGUGGCCGCCGGGCCUGGGGACCCAGGGAUCCGCAGCAGAGGAGGCUUCACCCCGCCGCUCUCCUCCCAGCACGGAAAGCUCGUCGCUAGCCUUCAGCAGCUCUGCCUCGCCUUUCCCUGCCUCCUUGGUCCCCUUCCUUUAUGGUGGUGCGGUGGCAAGAUGGACAAUCGGACGACCGAAAGCCUGACCCUCCCUUAGUCCUGUGGCCUUAGACAAAUCCCUUUUCGGUGGGCCUCUGUUUCAUCAUAUGUGAAAGUGUGUGUGUGUGGUGGGGGUGGAUUGGUUCACCUCUAAUGGCCCUUCCGACUCGAGAAAUUUUUAUCCUGGUUCCCCUAACAUUCGUAAGGUCGGCAUCUCCUGAAACUUAGCCUACUCUUGUAAACAUCAGAUGCCUUUAAAUUCUCUCCAAGGCUCACUCCUUCCUCCUAGGAGGAGGAUGAGUUGGCAUAUCAAUACUCUUUUAAACAUCGUCUCACCAUUACCUAGCAACCACCUUUAAAGAUGUUGUUAGGUCAAUCAGUCAACAAGCAUUUAUUAAGUACCUACUUUAUGCCAGGUACUAUCUCUACAAAGACCCUCCUUCCCCCCCCCCAAAAAAAGAUCCCUUGCCCUCAAGGAACUUGCAUUUCAUCGGGGGAAAUAACAGGUAUACAUAUAAAUAAAUAUAAAAUAUGCAGAAAAUAAACA